rnacentral:pre_miRNA from 1 species
AUCUUACACCCUCUGUCCCAAAAUUCUUAUCUUAGAUUUGUUUAGAUAUGAAUAUCUAGUCAAGUUUUAGUAUUAAGAUAGAUUCAUUUUUAGACAAAGUUAAGACAAGAAUUUUGGGACAUGUAUAGU